AGAGUUUGAUCCUGGCUCAGAUUGAACGCUGGCGGCAUGCCUUACACAUGCAAGUCGAACGGCAGCACGGGGGCAACCCUGGUGGCGAGUGGCGAACGGGUGAGUAAUACAUCGGAACGUGUCCUGUAGUGGGGGAUAGCCCGGCGGAAAGCCGGAUUAAUACCGCAUACGCUCUACGGAGGGAAAAGGGGGGGAUCUUAGGACCUCUCGNCUACAGGGGCGGCCGGAUGGCAGAUUAGCUAGUUGGUGGGGUAAAGGCCUACCAAGGCGACGAUCUGUAGCUGGUCUGAGAGGACGACCAGCCACACUGGGGACUGGAGACACGGGCCCAGACUCCUACGGGGAGGCAGCAGUGGGGGAAUUUUGGACAAUGGGGGCAACCCUGGAUCCAGCAAUGCCGCGUGUGUGAAAGAGCGCCUUCGGGUUUGUAAAGCACUUU
rnacentral:rRNA from 1 species